GAUGAACGCUGGCGGCGUGCUUAACACAUGCAAGUCGAACGGAGAUAACAUUUUCGAAGCGAUUAGUUUACUAAGAGCGGAGAUGUUGCUAUCUUAGUGGCGGACGGGUGAGUAACGCGUGGGUAACCUGCCUUACACUGGGGGAUAACACUUAGAAAUAGGUGCUAAUACCGCAUAACAGGAGAAGAUGCAUGUCUUUUCCUUAAAAACUCCGGUGGUGUAAGAUGGACCCGCGUCUGAUUAGUUUGUUGGCGGGGUAACGGCCCACCAAGGCGACGAUCAGUAGCCGGCCUGAGAGGGUGAACGGCCACAUUGGGACUGAGACACGGCCCAA
rnacentral:rRNA from 1 species